AGGGUUUGAUCAUGGCUCAGAUUGAACGCUGGCGGCAUGCCUUACACAUGCAAGUCGAACGGCAGCACGGGAGCAAUCCUGGUGGCGAGUGGCGAACGGGUGAGUAAUAUAUCGGAACGUGCCCAGUCGUGGGGGAUAACGUAGAGAAAUUUACGCUAAUACCGCAUACGAUCUACGGAUGAAAGCGGGGGACUCGCAAGAGCCUCGCGCGACUGGAGCGGCUGAUAUCAGAUUAGGUUGUUGGUGAGGUAAAAGCUCACCAAGCCGACGAUCUGUAGCUGGUUUGAGAGAACGACCAGCCACACUGGGACUGAGACACGGCCCAGACUCCUACGGGAGGCAGCAGUGGGGAAUUUUGGACAAUGGGCGCAAGCCUGAUCCAGCAAUGCCGCGUGCAGGAAGAAGGCCUUCGGGUUGUAAACUGCUUUUGUACGGAACGAAAAGGUCCUUUCUAAUACAAGGGGCUAAUGACGGUACCGUAAGAAUAAGCACCGGCUAACUACGUGCCAGCAGCCGCGGUAAUACGUAGGGUGCGAGCGUUAAUCGGAAUUACUGGGCGUAAAGCGUGCGCAGGCGGUUAUGUAAGACAGUUGUGAAAUCCCCGGGCUC
rnacentral:rRNA from 1 species